UUUGCCCUAAAACUCAAAAUUAUCUCAUAUUCUCAUCCCUCACGCCGCACUUCAAAUCCUCUCACCUUCUCUCUCUUCUAGUCUCCUGACUCUCCUGGCCUUCUGGAGUUCUGGGCUCUCUUCAGUCUCAUCUCUCGCCGGCGAGACACUCACCUCACACCGGCGCGCGUCCGACCCUCUUAUCUCUCACAACUUCACGGCAACGUCUCACGUCUGGUUUCCUAUCUCCGACCACCAGACAUCGCACACCACACAAUUGAUCGGAAUUGUACACAUUGGAGGAGCAGCCAUCAGUUUCAGCAGUUGAUGAUUAUUUAUAAUUAUCAUAUUUCACUUGUUUAGAUCUGUAAACGACUAAACGUUGUCGAAGACUUGUAAUUUCGAGUUGCUGACUUGCUGGCAACACUGCCUUGUAUGGAUGUAUGGCUAACUGCAUCUGCUAGUUUUUAUGCAUAGUUGCAUACCUUUGGUUUAAUUUUUUUGGCCUGCUAGGUUGCUGACUUGCUGGCAGCACUACCUGUAGGCUUAAAAUGUACUUGUGUUGUUAUAAUAUUUGUAUGAAAUAAUCCAUCCUUGUUUAUUA